AGGGAAUAUUGCGCAAUGGGGGAAACCCUGACGCAGCGAUGCCGCGUGAGUGAAGAAGGCCUUAGGGUUGUAAAACUCUUUCAGUGGUGAAGAUAAUGACGGUAACCACAGAAGAAGCUCCGGCUAACUCCGUGCCAGCAGCCGCGGUAAUACGGAGGGGGCUAACGUUGUUCGGAAUUACUGGGCGUAAAGCGCGCGUAGGCGGAUUAGACAGUUGGGGGUGAAAUCCCGGAGCUUAACUUCGGAACUGCCUUCAAUACUACUAAUCUAGAGUUCGGAAGAGGUGAGUGGAAUUCCUAGUGUAGAGGUGAAAUUCGUAGAUAUUAGGAAGAACAUCAGAGGCGAAGGCGGCUCACUGGUCCGAUACUGACGCUGAGGUGCGAAAGCGUGGGGAGCAAACAGG
rnacentral:rRNA from 1 species